rnacentral:rRNA from 1 species
AUUGAACGCUGGCGGCAUGCCUUACACAUGCAAGUCGAACGGUAACAGGUCUUCGGAUGCUGACGAGUGGCGAACGGGUGAGUAAUACAUCGGAACGUGCCCGAGAGUGGGGGAUAACGAAGCGAAAGCUUUGCUAAUACCGCAUACGAUUCAGGAUGAAAGCAGGGGACCGCAAGGCCUUGCGCUCACGGAGCGGCCGAUGGCAGAGUAGGUAGUUGGUGGGAUAAAAGCUUACCAAGCCGACGAUCUGUAGCUGGUCUGAGAGGACGACCAGCCACACUGGGACUGAGACACGGCCCAGACUCCUACGGGAGGCAGCAGUGGGGAAUUUUGGACAAUGGGCGAAAGCCUGAUCCAGCAAUGCCGCGUGCAGGAUGAAGGCCUUCGGGUUGUAAACUGCUUUUGUACGGAACGAAACGGUGAGCUCUAAUACAGUUUGCUAAUGACGGUACCGUAAGAAUAAGCACCGGCUAACUACGUGCCAGCAGCCGCCGUAA